GGGGUUUAAGGCCGGAUCCCAAAUUGGAUGGGCAUACGACAUCAAUGAUCAAAACUUGGGGCUAGGUCUUAAUUAUUGAGAAUCCAUUGGUUGGACCUAUUUCAAUGGUACAAGAGUUUUACACCAAUGCCAAAAUAACUAAGAACGAUAUGACCUAUGUUCGGGGAUGUAAAGUGUUAUAUUCAAGGGACAGUAUCAAUGAUUUAUUUCACUUGCGUAGCAUUCCAUUGAGUCACCCUAAUUUUCUCUAUGCACAAGAAUUGGACACUGAAUUAGACAUGAUCUGUAAUUACUUAUGUCAACCUGACACGGUGUGGAAAGAAAAGCAGGACACGAAUCAGAAACUCCAUUUUCCACAUACCGCUUUGAACAGAUACGGGAAGGCUUAGUACAACUUCCUGUGUGCAAAUUUGAUGCCAACACGACAUCAAAAUGAUGUCACUAAAGAUAAAGCAAUUAUGCUAUAUGGAAUUAUUAAGGGUAAAAAGAUCGAUGUUGGGUAUGUUAUCAAUAAGUCAAUUCACUAAUACUUGAGACGAGGCACUUCAGGGGGUAUCCCACAUGCAUCUAUUAUCACAAAACUAUAUGCUACUCAGGGGGUCGAAUGGGUUAACACAGAACCUAUGUAGUUACCCAUGAACAUAAUUGAUCAUGCUACUAUCAAGAAAUAUAAAGUAUGGGGAAGUGGCCGAUCUCAUCC
rnacentral:lncRNA from 1 species